AUUGAACGCUGGCGGCAUGCCUUACACAUGCAAGUCGAACGGUAACAGGUCUUCGGAUGCUGACGAGUGGCGAACGGGUGAGUAAUACAUCGGAACGUGCCCGAUCGUGGGGGAUAACGAGGCGAAAGCUUUGCUAAUACCGCAUACGAUCUACGGAUGAAAGCGGGGGAUCUUCGGACCUCGCGCGGGCGGAGCGGCCGAUGGCAGAUUAGGUAGUUGGUGGGAUAAAAGCUUACCAAGCCGACGAUCUGUAGCUGGUCUGAGAGGAUGAUCAGCCACACUGGGACUGAGACACGGCCCAGACUCCUACGGGAGGCAGCAGUGGGGAAUUUUGGACAAAGGGCGAAAGCCUGAUCCAGCCAUGCCGCGUGCAGGAUGAAGGCCUUCGGGUUGUAAACUGCUUUUGUACGGAACGAAAAGCCUCUUUCUAAUAAAGAGGGGUCAUGACGGUACCGUAAGAAUAAGCACCGGCUAACUACGUG
rnacentral:rRNA from 1 species